ACACCAUACAGCUAAAAGUAUCACCCAUGAUAGCCCAAAUAAUUUAGUGAUAAGUAAAUGUAAUGAACAAAGUAUGGAGAAACUAUUUAUCAAUACCAUGAAUAUACACCGGGGUGCUAUUCAUCACCGGUAUCCCCUCUAAUACCAAAACAAACAAUACGAUUCAAAAGAGAAUGCACACCAGAAACCAAAAGAAAAUCUCUAUCGUGGUUUAAUUGUUGUAAUGUUGGUUUAAUAAACCAAGAUAGAGAUAUUUUCUGUUUCUGGUGUGCAUUCGCUUCUGAAUCUAUUAGUGAUAAGGAAAUGUAACCUGGUGUUGGCAUGGGGCUCUGUACAAAUGUCACCUUUCAAGAAUCACAGACUGAUCUCUCACCUGCAAGAGGGUUAGUAAAUAGGAGCAGCCCACCGGUGGCAUCACAACCCUUCUAAACAUUUAAAAAUCGAUUCAUUUGUAAUUAAACACACAGAGCUGUUGAAACACUGACGUCCAGGUGCUGCCAGGUGUCACCAUUAAUCCAGCAUUGUGGAUGGAGAUCCAUCUAAUAACAACCUUACCUGAGAGUGUGGGGGGGAAUCAGAAUAUACUCAUCACGGGGAAACUGUGCUCUCAAUCAUACUCAUACCUUCUUGACCUCGAAACGCUUCUUUCCAACGCUAUUGUUUGUUCCACUCGGUGCAUCCACAUCCAUAGCGGCAGCCAUUUUGUAAAGGAGCCGCUAUUGCUUUUCAAUACGCAUGCUCGUGGUGACGCAACGCCAGCUGUCACGUGUUGUACGAGGGCGGAAUAGAACGAUCAGCGUGUUCCCUUCUUCCUGCAUUCCUCGCACGCUGCUGUGUUCAAUGCUGGAAGAAUCAUUGCGUGUUAGACAUGCUGUGUUUACCUGCCAAAGCCAGCAGCUUUAACUUUAUAUUUCUCCAGGAUACCAUUUCAGAGGAACAGGGCAGCGAUAUGUAAUUCAC